CCCCGGGUGGCUCAGUCGGUUGGGCGUCUGACUCUGGCUCAGGUCACGAUCUCACGGUUUGUGGGUUCGAUCCCCGCGUCGGGCU
rnacentral:tRNA from 1 species